UACAGAGGGUGCUAGCGUUAAUCGGAUUUACUGGGCGUAAAGCGUGUGUAGGCGGUUCGUUAAGUCGGAUGUGAAAGCCCUGGGCUCAACCUAGGAAUUGCAUUCGAUACUGGCGGGCUAGAGUACGGUAGAGGGCGGCGGAAUUCCGGGUGUAGCGGUGAAAUGCGUAGAUAUCCGGAGGAACACCUGUGGCGAAAGCGGCUCACUGGACCACAACUGACGCUGAUGCGCGAAAGCUAGGGGAGCAAACAGG
rnacentral:rRNA from 1 species